GUAACAAGGUCUCCGUUGGUGAACCAGCGGAGGGAUCAUUACCGAGUUUACAACUCCCAAACCCCUGUGAACAUACCUUAUGUUGCCUCGGCGGAUCAGCCCGCGCCCCGUAAAAAGGGACGGCCCGCCGCAGGAACCCUAAACUCUGUUUUUAGUGGAACUUCUGAGUAUAAAAAACAAAUAAAUCAAAACUUUCAACAACGGAUCUCUUGGUUCUGGCAUCGAUGAAGAACGCAGCAAAAUGCGAUAAGUAAUGUGAAUUGCAGAAUUCAGUGAAUCAUCGAAUCUUUGAACGCACAUUGCGCCCGCCAGUAUUCUGGCGGGCAUGCCUGUUCGAGCGUCAUUUCAACCCUCAAGCCCAGCUUGGUGUUGGGAGCUGCAGUCCUGCUGCACUCCCCAAAUACAUUGGCGGUCACGUCGAGCUUCCAUAGCGUAGUAAUUUACAUAUCGUUACUGGUAAUCGUCGCGGCCACGCCGUUAAACCCCAACUUCUGAAUGUUGACCUCGGAUCAGGUAGGAAUACCCGCUGAACUUAAGCAUAUC
rnacentral:rRNA from 1 species